CUCUACCGAUCUGGGAUCAGAUACGCUGUUUAGUCAUCUAUUUUUUCAGACAAAUCGUGGCGACCCAAUCACCACUCAAGCGCGAAGUUCAUCACAGCUUCUCACAACGUGCACCAGCCGGGAAUCGAACCCGGGUCUGUACCGUG